rnacentral:tRNA from 1 species
GGGGAUUUAGCUCAGUGGCAGAGCACUCGCCUACCAAGCGCAAGGCCCUGGGUUCGGUCCCCAGCUCCG